CCAAACUCGGAGUCCUACAAAUGGCUCAUUCUGAGCAGAAGGCUCAGGUCUAAAUUACCAGCAGAUCUUCAGACACACAACACUUUGUGGGGCGGUGUUCGGAGUAGAGAAACCGGGUGCCUAGGUGUAAACCCUUGCACCUCGUCUACAAAUCCCCCUCAAGGUGGAAACAAGGAAAACCCAGCCAGAGCAGCCACGAAGUUGAGUCCAGGACGUCUCAUACAGGUUGAAAACGGAUAACAAUGGCGCAGAGAUGUUGAAUCAAGGCAAGUUGGAUGGUCCUCCCAGAGGCUCCCAUGGAGUGACCUUUUUUUUUGAGUAUUCAUUACGGUAUAUGAUCUAGAAACUCUGCUGCACCAGGAAUUGGAUCUUGGGCAUUCUCAGAGUUGACAGGUCUCAGGGAGACUGGCUCACAGACUCACAAGAGACUGAUGCGUAUAUCAGAAUGCCAAUUAAUACCAGUUAAUUGAGAGAGAACGGAUGACCUCCCUCUUCAGUGCCUGGAGAGCUUUCAUUUCCCACCCAGGCAACCGCCAUUCCCCCAGCCGGAAUGUCAGGAAAACUCGCAGUCACGAGACACUGCUUCAUGAGUGUGGAGUCAGAGCAAGGGGGAGUGAUGUCAUGAGGAGAUUAACUGAAGUUUACUCCUCCAGACGGCAAACUUGGUCUUUCAUUAGAGAAAUUUUCGAUGAUACAGUUUUUUCACUGUUGGACUCCUGAGAGGGAGUGAUUUUGGCAUCGUAGAGAUGAUGAACCUUCAGCCAAGACAGCCGAUGAAAAAUUCCAUGGAUCAAUUUGUUUUAGUGGAAAGGUUUUGAGGUUUGGGACGGGCAAACGAGAUUGCACUCCCUAACUAUAUGAAGUUGGACAUGUUCCUUAACCUUUCAGGCCUGCAGAUUCGUCAACUGUAAAAUAGAGAUAAUAAUAUUCAUGUCUGCUGUGCACUGAAUGUGUGCAUCCCCCCAAAAUGCAUACGUUAAAACCUGAUCCCGAACGUGAUGGUAUUAGGAGGCGGGGCCUUUGGGAGGUGAUCAGAUCAUGAGGGUGAAGCCCUCAUGAAUGAGAUAAGUGCCUUUUAUAAAAGAGACCCAAGGGAGCACCCUUGCAUCUCAGCCAUUUGAGGACAAUGAGAAGACGGCUGUCUACGAACCAGGAAGUGGACCCUCAACAGAUACUGAGUCUGUUGGCACCUUGUUCUUGAACUUCCCAGCUUUCAGAACUGUGAAAAAUACAUUUCUGUUGUUCAUAAGCCACUCAGUCUAUGGAAUUCUGUUAUAGCAGCCUGAAUAGACCAAGGUAAGGUCACAGGGUUGUUUGAACAAUUAAAUGAUAUAAGGUGAUAAUUAAAUGCAUCACCUCGCUUGGCACUUGGCUGAUGCUAAACAAAUAUGGUUCCUUUUAAUUUUAACACUAGAUGAAAAUUUUGGCUGAUACUUUUUUCCACUU